UUUCCAUGAACAACCAAUAAACUGGAGAUGAGAAUGAACAAGUCGUUUUGUAACCCAAGUUAUAUAUUUUCUUUAAAAAGAGGAGACGGGAGUUCCCGUCGUGGUGCAGUGGUUAACAAAUCCGACUAGGAACCAUGAGCCAUGAUGGGAACUCCCCAAAUUAGAUUUUUAGUCACUGUCAAUGAACCCCAAGUUUAAACAAACUUUUAGAACUAUACUCUUGGUAUUUUAAAGCAAAGUAACAAAAUACAGAAUUAAGUAAGCUAUCAAGCAAUCAGCAAUAAAUAAUUCUACCACCUUACAAAUUAAAAAAAAAAAAAAA